rnacentral:piRNA from 1 species
AAAAAAAUUGCUAUGAGGUGGCCAAC